GUCUGCCUAGCAUGUGCUGUGUUCCUGGGGUUCCCUCUAUUUGGACCAAGCCUCUUUUAUCAAGCCCAUUUGAAACCAUUCUAAAAUGCUGAUUAGCAAAUUUGGUUUCCGUUAAGGGUCUGAUCAGAUUGUCAUCCUCUCUCUGGCCGGAUCUAGAAGGGAUUAGGGCUGGGGGAGAAAACGAAAAUACUUCUAGCUGUAAACUGGGCUUAUCCAAUUCUGUGUGAGUGAUCUUGAGUCUCGACUUGCACUUUUAAAUGCACUCCAAAUCCUGUAAUAGGACUCAGGCCCAUUUGAGUAGGGAAUGGGAGCUUUGGCUCCUUCUCUGGGGUGAGGGUGAGAAGACUCUAACCCACUGCUCGGUAUGUUGUCUUCAGUUCCUAAUGUGGUCUGGUUGGUACCUAUUUUCUCGGCUAAUUCUUCAGUUAGCUUUACAAUUAAACAAAAGGAUACCUUGAGAUUACUAGUCCUUUAGCAGUUUAGUUAGAGGGAUGUGAAGGCUUGUGCUUGAUAUGCUGGUCUUAGUGACUAUCUUUGAUUUUCUUUGCCGCUUUGGUUUUAUUUAUUUAUUUUAAUUUUGUCCACUGUGAUGAAUUUGGGAAACACAAGCAAUCUGGCAAAUGAAAAGCAAACACUUGUGCAAUAUUUUGGGGACAGAGGAUUUCUGUUACUAGCAAAGGAACUUUUUAAGGGGGCAAAAAACCUGAUCUAGUUCCAUUUAUGCUACUUACCACUUUCUGCUGCAGUAAUCACAGAUAGUGGUAUUUAAAAAGAAACAUCAGUUGAAAUGAUAUACAUAAUUUAUUAUUGCAAAGGAAAGCCGUUUUGAUCUAGAAUACCAAGAUCUGGAGGUUUAAGAAGAAUUAAAGCAUAUUGUGAAGCUAGUUUUUUCAUACCAAAUUACUUUAAAAAAAUAAUGGUUCCUCAGUCUGCAAAGAAUUUACAUGUGCCACAGCUUCUGUGUUAGAGCCUGGGAUAGUGUUAAGUGGUGGAGCUCAGGAAGGACAGCUCCAUACUCAAGUCAUGGCCCAAACUGUACAUACUUGCCAAGUAACGUGGUGGCUGUAUCAACUCCUGGAAUACAUUCCAUUUAUUUUAUUUUUUAUUUAAUAGCACUGUAACUGCUGCCUAUAUCUGGCUUCUUACAUGGAUUUAUCAUCAUGAUUUGGUCAGUAGUACAGCCCACUUAACUACAGUUUGGUUAAAUCCCAGAUUACUUUCUGAGCUUUCAGUUGUAAUUUAAAACUGAAUUGCAGUCAGAUUCCUGGCUUGAUUUCCAGCUCUAUACUGCAUAUCUGUCUCCAAGACCAGCAUAUUCCAUCCCCUUCUGGUGAUUUAGGGCAGCUUUAAACAUCCAUUUCCUAAAUGGAGAGCAGUUCUACAUAGACACUGUGAAGUCUGCAGACUGUCGUAUGCGACAGUCUCCACCCAUUCUUCACAGUUUUCUUUUCUGGAAGUAUAUUUUACAUUGCAUGUGCAUAACAUUUGAAGCAGCCAUUGUUCAGCAUGUGAGUGCCCAGAGCUUUUGUAGGGUCCCUGUAUAACUCUGUUGUGCUAUUGUCUUUGUGUCAGUGCAAUGCAAAUGAAACAAAAGCGAAUGCACAAAAACGCUUGUCUUACCAUCUGACCAAUUUACAGGCAAUGGGUUCUAACGAAGAAGGUUCAAAAAUAAUACAAUGAGUGUCAAAACUGCAACUUCAAGGUGCAGCUAAGGCUUCUGCCGGGUUACUAAGCAAAAGUUGAUGAUAAAGAGACUCUGUCUCUCUUGUGCACUCCUCUCACAGAAUGGUCUCGCAAAGGUAAAUGAAUCCAUGCACCCAAAUUUCCACCCGUUCUUUGUGAAAGCAAAUUUGUGUUUAAAUGUGUGCUGAUUUACCUAUUUCUAGAGGAACCACUGGCUCUCCCCUCCUGCAUGCUGGCCUAUUGAACAGCCAAUUCAUAAAGGCAUGUUGGCUGUCCUCAUGUUCAGUGGGGACAGGGCUGCAUUGGCAACUCCUGGGAUUGUGACCAUGUGUAGAGCCACUCCAGACUGGCACCGCAGGGGGCUUGUGCUGCAAGCCUCUAGCAGGGUCUGAUGGAUACGGGCUGGCGUGCCAUAACAAUGAGGGAUGUUCCCCUUGUGGACCAGUUGAUACCUCAAGUGCCAAUCCAUUGAAGGUUCUGCUUGCUACUGAUAGGCAGGGAGCCAUCAGCUCCCAUCUUAGAUUAUCCCACUUAAUUAUGUAUAUGGCUACUCUUACUGCUGCAGAUAUCAGGUUGCCAUAAGUUGCUACAGAAUCCCUCUUGGGUUCCUUAACCCCUUUAUCUUGGGAGUGAAUAGUUCCCUUAAUUUCCUUGCCUGUCCUUCAAAUGGUUCCAUCAGUUUUCUUGGGCAGUUUUUCCUCUGGCCCAUCAGCUUCUAUCAUUGGUGGAUAUGAAUGGCCUAAGAUCAUUUGCUGUAUUCACCUUGAAAUCAACUUGGCAUAGUUUUGCUGUUCCUCUCCCACUUAAUCUGUCAUUAAGGUGACCAUGACCCUGCACUGGCCUGCGUACUGCUUGGUGGUCUAGAGUAAGGAGGAACAUGCAGCCUGCAGUGAAGACUGCCAUGUCACAUCUGGUAUCUGCAGCAGUCCCAGCCAACUUUACCUGGAAGCUAACCCAAGUUCUUCACGCCAUGUUGUGUUCUUUUUGCCAUAUUGAAUCUCAGAAUGAUUUCUUGAUGUUACCAUGUGCUAAAAGUCUUGAACCAUGUUUCUCUCGGUCCACAGUUGAAAUCCAUCUCUGGAAAAGCAUAAGUAUUGGCCCAAGCAAGCGGGCCAAGUACCAGACACUGGUAAAAACAAACAGACAAACCAAACUAAAAAGCAAAAACUUAAGUGUGGCACUCAUGAUUAUUUCAGCUGCCUCUUCAAGGCUUCUCCUAUGUUAGAAGUGACCCUGCAUCUGGACCCUGCAGCACUCUUGUUAAACGAGCUGUGAGGGACACAACCUUGGACUCUGGGACUUGCUGCCUUCUACACAGUGGGGGAGGGGGGGCAUUGUUGCGUGGUUAAAUUUGUCUGUAAAGGGUUUUUGCUGGCCUGUAAAACUUUUAACUUGUGUGUUACGGGGAGUGGGGGAGGAAUUGUAGAGUGUGGUGUAGAAUUUAAUCAAUACUAAAUGCACAUCCCAGCUCUUUAUCUGGGGAACUGGUCUUCAGUUCUCACUGGGUCUUCUGAUCCUGGCUUGUAAUCUCUUAGCAGUACUGGAUACACGCACACUAAGGGUCUUACGUGGAUGAUGAGGUGGCAGGCCUCAUUCUCUGAAAACAUCCUGCUUUGGUAAUGAAGUUGGAGAGUUAUCCUUUAGUCUUGCUGCUAUGACUCAAACUUGGGGAAAGACAAAAGCAGAUGCCUCUGCAGCAUGGGGCUCAUUGUUAUGUGUUAAAUCUAUUUCCAAACAAUAUCCAUAGUGGGAUUAUUUCACUGAGACUGGGGCCUGAAUUUCCAGCUGGUUUCCUUCCUCAUCCUAAGAAGUGGAGGGGUGGGUGAGGUGGUAUGUCUUCUGCUUUGGCUGGUGUCAUUCUUGCCCAUAUAGGUCAAGUGUUUUAAGUUGAUGCAGCUGCUCAGGGCUUGCAUUAGUGCUGGCUGGGCAAGGUCACCAAACCAGUUCUCAUCUCCUGCAAAGUAGUUAUGCAGAAACCCUCUCUUCAUAGCCUUGCAGUUGACACAAGUCCUGCAUGUUUUUGAAUAAAGUCUGGGUUUGUUCCCAGUAGUCUACUUGGAGGCGUUUAUCCUGGCCUAGGGGAAGGAAGAGGCUUCAGUUGCUGAAGUGGGACAUCACUGUGACACCAAGAGAUGCCAGUGUGUUAACGCCAACUCUGACAGCUGCUACCAUUCUAUACUCCAGAGCCCUGUUGAUAUUGAAAAGUGGGUGGGCUGGGACUUUCUGAAGUGGGUGCUCAUGUGUCAAACCAUUGAUGCAAAAAUCUGUGUAUAAGUUGUGUACAGUGACAAUAAAGUGGAACCUCUGAGCUGCUCUUUGUGUAGCCAGCAGAUUGGAUGGCAGACUAUGGAAACAGUUUCCAGUGGGCCCAACAGCUGAGCUCCUUCAACGUGCUGCCCCAAUCAGGUCAAGCAGCCGUUGGUGUACACAGUAUUUGUGUCUAUCUCUGCUCUGUUAAAGGCUUCCAAUACAUUGGGCUUUAUUAUGGGUGGAGAUGGUACUGCUUCAAGUAGAAACUCCUGGUUUUUAUAUGUGAACUGAACCAAUGCCAUUUACCGGCUGACCUGUUGUGGAAUAAAAUAAGUUUAAUGACA